rnacentral:pre_miRNA from 1 species
AUCACCUGGGGAUCUUGUUAAAAGUGCAGAUUCUGAUUCAGUAAAUCUGGAUUGGGGCCCAAGAUUCUGCACUUCUAACAAGCUCCCAGAUGAUGCUAA